rnacentral:rRNA from 1 species
UACGUAGGGGGCAAGCGUUGUCCGGAAUUAUUGGGCGUAAAGAGCGUGUAGGCGGCCCGGCAAGUCCGCCGUGAAAGUCCAGGGCUCAACCCUGGAAUGCCGGUGGAAACUGUCGGGCUUGAGUUCGGAAGAGGCGAGUGGAAUUCCUGGUGUAGCGGUGAAAUGCGCAGAUAUCAGGAGGAACACCAAUGGCGAAGGCAGCUCGCUGGGACGACACUGACGCUGGAGACGCGAAAGCGUGGGGAGCAAACAGGAUUGAGACUACCGUAG